GAAGCUCUGGAGACCCCACUGCUUCCAGGAAAGGGGUGCCCCCCACCAUCUUGAGAAAAUGAAGCUCUUUCACUGGGGUUCAAGGUGUGAACAUGCAUUUCCAGGCUGCCUCUGAUCUCCAGCCCCACUGGACCCCUGAGCUUUAAAGGCUUUAAAGGGGGCUGUCCCGGGUGUGUGCUGUGGGGCAGACAAGUGCUUGGCAUUUUGCUUAUAGGAACUUGCUUAAUCUUCAUAGCGAACCCAAAGAGCUCGUCCACGGGCAGCCAGGACCUGGAUGUGGGCUACUGCAAAGCUUCCACGUAGAAACAAAUCAACAGACCAACCAACCAGCUGGCUCUGGACCUGUGAUGUGCAGUAAUAAGCAUGUGAAACCAAAGAGCUUUCCGAACCCUUUACUGCGCCUACUCUCAGACCAGGCUACGGAUGGAUGAUUACCACCAAGAAGAAUCCCCAGUGGGUACUUUAGGUUAGAGUUGCCAGAUUAAAUACUUAGGACACACU